rnacentral:rRNA from 1 species
GGUCAAGUUAUUAAGGGUGCAGGGCGGAUGCCUUGGCACUAGGAGCCGAUGAAGGACGUGAUAAGCUGCGAUAAGCUUCGGGGAGUUGCACGUAAACUUUGAUCCGAAGAUUUCCGAAUGAGGAAACUCACUUAGAGUAAUGUCUAAGUAUCAUUAAGUGAAUACAUAGCUUAAUGAGGGGAACUCAGGGAACUGAAACAUCUAAGUACCUGAAGGAAGAGAAAGAAAUUCGAUUCCGUAAGUAGCGGCGAGCGAACGCGGAUUAGCCCAAACCAAUAAAGUUUUCUUUAUUGGGGUUGCGGACAUAUCAUAACGAAGAGGUAUCGUAAUUGAAGAGGUUUGGAAAGACCCACCACAGAAGGUAAUAGUCCUGUAUGUUAAACGAGAAGACUUUAG